GAUGAACGCUGGCGGCGUGCCUAAUACAUGCAAGUCGAGCGAACGGACGAGAAGCUUGCUUCUCUGAUGUUAGCGGCGGACGGGUGAGUAACACGUGGAUAACCUACCUAUAAGACUGGGGUAACUUCGGGAAACCGGAGCUAAUACCGGAUAAUAUUUUGAACCGCAUGGUUCAAAAGUAAAAGACGGUCUUGCUGUCACUUAUAGAUGGAUCCGCGCUGCAUUAGCUAGUUGGUAAGGUAACGGCUUACCAAGGCAACGAUGCAUAGCCGACCUGAGAGGGUGAUCGGCCACACUGGAACUGAGACACGGUCCAGACUCCUACGGGAGGCAGCAGUAGGGAAUCUUCCGCAAUGGGCGAAAGCCUGACGGAGCAACGCCGCGUGAGUGAUGAAGGUCUUCGGAUCGUAAAACUCUGUUAUUAGGGAAGAACAUAUGUGUAAGUAAAUGUGCACAUCUUGACGGUACCUAAUCAGAAAGCCACGGCUAACUACGUG
rnacentral:rRNA from 1 species